CUUAACGUUGGAGGUACCCGUACCGCAAACGGACACACGUAGUCGGGUUGAAUAUACUAAGGCGCUUGGGUGAAUCACGGUUAAGGAACUAGGCAAAUUGACCCUGUAACUUCGGAAUAAAGGGUCCCUCCUCGCAAGAGAGGGCGCAGAGAAUAGGUCCAGGCAACUGUUUAACAAAAACACAGGGCUGUGCUAAUAUGAAAGUAGAUGUAUACAGCCUGACACCUGCCCGGUGCUGGAAGGUUAAGAGGA
rnacentral:rRNA from 1 species